UACGUAGGGGGCAAGCGUUAUCCGGAUUUACUGGGUGUAAAGGGAGCGUAGACGGUGAUGCAAGACAGAAGUGAAAGCCCGGGGCUCAACUCCGGGACUGCUUUUGAAACUGUGUGACUGGAGUGCAGGAGAGGUAAGCGGAAUUCCCGGUGUAGCGGUGAAAUGCGUAGAGAUCGGGAGGAACACCAGUGGCGAAGGCGGCCUACUGGGCUCUAACUGACGCUGAGGCACGAAAGCGUGGGUAGCAAACAGG
rnacentral:rRNA from 1 species